rnacentral:lncRNA from 1 species
UAUGGGAGUCCGGUCUCGGGGAUGGGACGCCGCAACCGGCGGCGCCGGUGGCCGGAAAAGAGAGGGAAGAGUUCAGCCGAAACAGAGCAAAAGCAGGGGUCAUUUUAUUCAUGAAUUUUUCGGUGAUCCCGAAGGCCGACGGAAGUGCACGAAGCCAUGGAAAGGAUGGGAAGGAAGAGAGGAAAGAGGAGAAGGGCUUACCUCCGACUCCGGUGAGGUCUCCGGCGAGUAUUCGAGAUGAACACGAUGAGGACAUCCGCGGCUUCAACGGAAAAAUUCGAGAAAAAUAAAAGAAAAAUCCGGUGCUCGUCGUGACCAACCUUAGAGGGAAGGAGAGGGGGUUUUAUAGGAUGUAGGGGAGGUCGAAUCCGCCUUGGAUUCAACCUCUCCAUCGGUGAUUUGGGUGG